rnacentral:rRNA from 1 species
UACGUAGGUGGCAAGCGUUAUCCGGAAUUAUUGGGCGUAAAGCGCGCGCAGGCGGUUUCUUAAGUCUGAUGUGAAAGCCCACGGCUCAACCGUGGAGGGUCAUUGGAAACUGGGGAACUUGAGUGCAGAAGAGAAAAGCGGAAUUCCACGUGUAGCGGUGAAAUGCGUAGAGAUGUGGAGGAACACCAGUGGCGAAAGCGACUUCCUGGACCAGUACCGACGUUCAGGCGACGAAAGCGUGGGGAGCGAACAGG